AGAGGAGACGUCACCGAAGGAGAUCCAUCUUCGUUGGAGCAGCGUACAAGUCCGGCUGGUCGGGAAAAAGCGAUCCGAGAGAAAAAGGACUUCUUCCAAACAGCUGCUGAGGACGAAGAGGUACGGCCCCAAAGAGAAGAUGGACGCUCAACAAAAAAAACACAAGAGGGAGAUACGCCAUGGGACCACUUGACCAGGGAAG